AUGGGAUCAAAUCCUAUUGAUUAUGAUAUGAUCUUAUAUCCAAGAAUCAAUCUCUAGAUUGAUGGGAUUUUAAUCUAACUAAUUUUUUAAUUAGAUUAGGAUCUAAUUAAUUUUUUAAUUGAGUUAGGACCUAAUUAGUUAGUUUAUUAUAACUAAUUUCUAAGUUAGUUAGGAUUGGAUCCAAGAAUUAGUUAGAGUUUGAUCAAAAAUUAUGAGUCCUAUUUGGAGUAGGACUUAACCAACUCAUAAACUCCAUAUAUCAUAUAUUCUCCAUGCCUCCUCUCCUUUCACUGUGAGAACCUAUGCCCCA
rnacentral:lncRNA from 1 species